rnacentral:rRNA from 1 species
GACGAACCGUCCAAACGUUAUUCGGAAUCACGUGGCUUACAGAGUUCGUAGGCGGUCUGGAAAGUUGGGUGUGAAAUCCCUCGGCUCACCGAGGAACUGCGCUGAAACUACCAGACUCGAGGGAGAUGAGAGGAAAGCGGAACUGGAUGGUGGAGCGGUGAAAUGUGUUGAUAUCAUCAGGAACACCGGUGGCGAAGGCGGCUU